UGUCAGAAGUGGGAUUUGAACCCACGUCAGAGAACUCACAACUCCCUCUAUGGGAUAAAUCCGGUGCCUUUGACCACUCAGCCAUCCUGAC